CCCUUAGAUGUUCUGGGCCGCACGCGCGCUACACUGACUACUUCAACGAGUUGUUUCCUUGAUCGAAAGGUCUGGGUAAUCUUUGAAAGGUAGUCGUGAUGGGGAUAGAUCCUUGCAAUUUUUGAUCUUCAACGAGGAAUUCCUAGUAAACGCAAGUCAUCAGCUUGCAUUGAUUACGUCCCUGCCCUUUGUACACACCGCCCGUCGCACCUACCGAUUGAAUGGUCCGGUGAAUCUUUAGGACUGUGGCUGAGGCCUUGCCUUGUGCGGGUCUGGCCGUGGGAAUUUAGUUAAACCUUACCAUUCAGAGGAAGGUGAAGUCGUAACA
rnacentral:rRNA from 1 species